rnacentral:rRNA from 1 species
GUGAGGAAUAUUGGUCAAUGGACGGAAGUCUGAACCAGCCAAGUAGCGUGCAGGAUGACGGCCCUAUGGGUUGUAAACUGCUUUUAUGCGGGGGUAAAGUGAGUGACGUGUCAUUCAUUGCAAGUACCGCAAGAAUAAGGACCGGCUAAUUCCGUGCCAGCAGCCGCGGUAAUACGGAAGGUCCUGGUGUUAUCCGGAUUUAUUGGGUUUAAAGGGAGCGUAGGCCGUCAGGCAAGCGUGUUGUGAAAUGUCGUGGCUCAACCAUGGACUUGCAGCGCGAACUGCCCGACUUGAGUGCGCAGAAAGCAGGCGGAAUUUGUGGUGUAGCGGUGAAAUGCUUAGAUAUCACGAAGAACCCCGAUUGCGAAGGCAGCCUGCUGUAGCGCUACUGACGCUGAAGCUCGAAAGUGCGGGUAUCGAACAGGAUUAGAUACCCCUGUAGUCC